GGCAACUAUGGCUGGAACUAUUUCCAAGGUUUAACUCAGGGAUGCCACAGGUCAGACAGCCUUUCUCAAGCCAAAAAGAGUGCCUGAAAAUGUUGAGGUUGAACCAAGCUUUCAGUGUGAGAAAUAAGUUCUCCAUUCGUUGACAUCCCUGAAGCCUGUUGAUAUCCCUAAAGCCUACAGGAAAAGCGAAGCAAAACUUUGGUGGGCCUGAAAAGAAUGUACCUGACUCAUGUCUCCAAAACUAAAGCAAUGAGGAAGCAAACUAAGAGAGAAACCAAUCUUUCUGGCCCAAGCCCUGUUCAAAUGGCUUUCUUAGUUCUCACACACCCUCUACACAGAAGUCCACAUUUCUUUGUAGGAUCUUACAUUGCUAAAACUCAAAAAUCUCAGUAUGAACAGUAUGAAUAUGUUUUGUUUUGUUUUUGUCAUUACCUCACCAGCAAAUUAAAAACUAAGUUUGAGCUAGUCAUACGAAAAUAUUCCAUUCUUGAAAUUCUAACUUUAUCUCUUGCCCCCAGUUCAUUAAAGGUCAUUCCUAUGGGUACUAUCUUGUAUAACCUGCCUUGCUGUCAAAUAUAUUUAAUAUAAUAGUAAAGGUCACAUAAAAUAUGUGUUAUAAUAAACAAAAGGAGAGCAAAGAAAAAUAACAAGGGAAAAUAAGGAACAGGGCAUAAAUUUUAAGCAGGAAGGUGACCAGUGCACAAAGUACACACCAUAAAGUUCUUUAUGUCUGAUAAGGGGCAACCACACUUAUUUCAAAGCUUCCUUGCCACAAACAAGAGCAGGAGAAUGUGAAUGGGUACACAGUUGAGAGUGUCCAUGGCCUAAGAACAAACUGUUUCGGAGAAGCAAUGUAGUAAGACCACAAGGAAAUUUCUCCCAGGAAGCCUCAAAUAACUAGAUCCUUUGUAAUAUUUCAAGCACUGUCCUGGACUCAUUUUUUUCAUCAGCCUUUUACUGAGCCCCUACAAAGUACCAGAUUGCAUGGGGAUACAGAGUUCCAAACAGGUCAUAAAGCAGCAGAGACAACUCUCAAGAUCAACAGCGCAUUUGGCUCAGAAUGAACUAAAUGAACAUACUAAUGAAUGUGCUAUGUAACCAGCUCAGUGACUGAACCUAAAAGAAGCUCCAAAGCACUUCCUAAAGCCAAAUUUGCACCAAAGAAAGGUCAUGAUCACUCUUUGGUGGUCUGCUGCCGGUCUGAUCCACUAUAGCUUUCUAAAUCCUGGCAAAACCAUUCCAUCUGAGAAGUAUGCUCAGAAGAUGGAGAUACACCAGAAACUGCAAUGCCCGCAGCUGGCAUUUCUCAACAGAAAGGGCCCAAUUCUUCUCAAUGACAGUGCCUGAACCUCAUGUGUCAUACAACCAACGCUUUAAAAGUUGAAGGAGUUGGGCUAUAAAGUUUUGCCUCAUCUGCCAUCUUCACCUGACCUUUUGCCACUUCUUACGAACUACCACUUCUUCAAGAACCUCAUCAACUUUUUGCAGGGAAAAUGCUUCCACAACCAGCAGGAGGCAGAAAAUACUCUCCAAGAGUUCAUCAAACCCUGAAACAUGGAUUUUUACACUACAGGAAUAAACUUAUUUCUCAUUGACAAAAAUGUGUUGAUUGUAAUGGUUUCUAUUCUGAUUAAUAAAAAUGUGUUUGAGCCUAGUUAUAAUGAUUUAAAAUUCACAGUCUGAAACCACAAUUAUGUUUGCACCAACCUAAUAAAUUAAAUAGCAUGAUGCCACCUCAAUGCCUAAUGCUGCUGCUGCCUGCUGCUCAGUUGUGUCCAACUCUCUGCAAUCUCAUGGACUGCAAUCCACCAGGCAACUCUUCCAUGGGAUUCUCCAGGCAAGAACACUGGAGUGGUUGCCAUUUCCUGCUCCAGGGGAUCUGCCUGGCCCAGGGAUCAAACCCACAUCUCCGUGUCUCCUGCAUUGGCAGGCAGAUUCUUUACCAACACCCCUGGGAAGCCCAAUAAAAGUACGUAUCAGUUAAUAAUUGAUUCUCAUGUUAUAGU
ensembl:lncRNA